CAAGAGUGUAUGGGUUUGUUUCUGGAUUUCAUCUGGGGAAUCUUGGAGGAUGAGUUUGCCUCAGAGGAGAAGCUUACAGAACCUCACUGCCAGCUGCCCAUUUAAAGCAGGGGGUGUGUUGUGGGAGUGGGUGGGAAGCCGGAGCAAACAGGGCCAGGACGCGGAAGGAGAGACAGGAGUAACCUAUGUGCACAGCCUUUCCCUAUACCACUGCUAGUAAACGACAGUAUCAAACAAGAGGAAUAACACCUCAAGUCCUGUUCCAGGAAGGUCCAGGAACCCCAAACGUCCCGUUGCCUUCUCGCCUCCUCUGCUGAGAGGGGCAGAGCGGCUCACGUUGACAGACUGAAGGGUAAAUGUGCAAACGUUUAUGGGGCCGAGGAUUAAGUGUGAAGGAGGAUUCUGGCAGUUGGGCUGAACAAAGACAUAAGACAUGUUUAAUACUCAGCAGGAUGCUUGGCAUAUAAAGGAGGAGGCAACGUUCCCCAGCCUACUCCUGCAUUCUGCUCGACCUGCCACUCACACCCCGCUGGCAGAACUGCUGGGGCUGGGAGGAUGAUGAGCACGUUUUUCUGUCCUGAGUGUGAACUGCCUUUAUAUCAUUUUGAUGAUAAGUGUAUUCAAAUAAUGCUUAAAAGUAUAUCGAAAUAAACAACA